UACGUAGGGGGCUAGCGUUGUCCGGAAUCAUUGGGCGUAAAGCGUCUGUAGGUGGCUUUUUAAGUCCGCCGUCAAAUCCCAGGGCUCAACUCUGGACAGGCGGUGGAAACUACCAAGCUGGAGUACGGUAGGGGCAGAGGGAAUUUCCGGUGGAGCGGUGAAAUGCGUAGAGAUCGGAAAGAACACCAACGGCGAAAGCACUCUACUAGGCCGACACUGACACUGAGAGACGAAAGCUAGGGGAGAGAAUGGG
rnacentral:rRNA from 1 species